GCUGGUCUGGGGAGGGAGCACGAAAGGAUGAAUGAAAAGUCCGGAGCCGGAGCGCGCCCGGGCCAGAGCAGCGGCAGAGGCUGGGGAGGGAGCUAGGGAGGUGAGCUCUGCCCUGCUCGCCUUGGCUCGGCGGAGGCUGAGAUCCCGGCGGGCGCCUCCACCCCGGCGCCCGCUGAGCCCUGGCACCUCGAACCCAGGGCCAUGGCGUUCCGUGGGCGGGAACGUGCCGGGAGGACCGCGAGGGAGAGCACUGAUGGGCACACUGGGCUCGAUGUACAGCUUCCCACCACCCAGGAAGGAAGGAACUGGCCUGGAUUUUGGCAACCUCUUGCUUGUACCAAAAAGAAGAACCUACUUCAUCCAGUUGGCUUCAGUGCCCUGUGAGAAGCCUUCCUGAUUGACGGAAAGAUGAGACUAAAUUCUAGCAAGUUGAGUGGCUCCUUCAAGAAGCCUGUGUGCAGGGUAGAAGUGGAGAGGCCAUAGCCUCCAGCCUGGGCAGCCCAUUGGCACCUGGAGCCACCUCAACUUUGCCUCCCCUUUGCUCCUGUGUCUAUAAGCUGCCCAGCCCAGCCCGUCCUGGUUUCUCCUGUGUCUUCUGAGCUGAGAUUUCUCUGAGAUGGAAGCCCCAUCCCAUGUCUAAUAAAGACUCUUGAAUACUG
ensembl:lncRNA